GGGCUGGACACAAGACAAGUA
rnacentral:siRNA from 1 species